rnacentral:lncRNA from 1 species
UGUGUCCCACCACAAAUACGAUCACGUGAUUCAGUCUCACUACAUGUGACCCUAAUUACAAAGAGAGAGAGCAGAGCAAAUAGGGUUCUGAUUUAGAGGAGUGUGCUCUCUGUAAUUUAACUAAACUCAUUCAUUAUAAAUGAACAUUACAAAUAUAGAAGCAAAAAAAAAAAAAAAAGAAGGAAUAUCAAUGCUUGAGUCUUCAUUUGUGCCAGGAAGCUUGCUUUCCUACUUUGGGCAGUGGUGCGAGUCCUCCUAGUCUACGUGUGCUGCUGGGCACUGGGUGCUUUACCUGUGCCUGCAGCAGCUAGAGGAACAAGCUGAGGUUCCUGCUGCUCUGUCACUGCUCACCUUGUGCGUGUGUGUGUGUGUGUGAGGCGGGGUCUCUCAACAGACUCAGCCCGCAGUUUUGGCUAGGCUGGCUGGUCAGCAAGCUCCAGGAUCUAUCUUCACAGCCCCUUAGCACUGGAGCUGUAAGCACGCAUGCCUGUCUGGCUUUCUCUGUGGGUUCUGCAGACCAGUGUCUUACACGGUGUUUUGUUUUGUUUUGUUUUGUUUUGUUUUGUUUUGUUUUGUUUUGUUUUGUUUUAAGAAUUUUGCAUUCUUAUCACAGUAUCUGAGACUUUGUGUGUUCAUCCUUGCCAAUAUCUUUUUAAAUUUAUCCAUUGUCAUGAGACUUGCUAAUUUUGUGGCUUGAAUUUGCAUUUACUCGGUGACUAUUGAUUAUUGUCUUUCCAUGUGCUUAUUUACCGUCCUUGAUGAAGUCUCUUUUCAAAUAGGAAGUAAAUCCAUCUAUGGUGGCCUACACCAGUAAUCCCGGCUUCCCCGGAGGUUUAUGCAGGAGGAUCACUGGAGCCCCACAAUUUGAAGUACCUGAACAAUGUAGCAAGACCCUUUCUCAAAAUUAAUUUUUAAAAUUCUCACUCUUAGAUAUUGCCUUGCAUGCAUAACAUUCAAAAUAAUGUAGAUGUUUUCAGUAGAGUGGUUGCUAAUGUGAGGUGGCACUGAGCAGUCAGAGGCAGGCAGGUCUGCUAGCAGCCAGAGGCCAGCCAUGUCUGCAGAGUGAGUUCUAGGCCAGCCAGGGAUGCUCAAAAGUAGGCAAACUCGUAAUGGUGAUUCACAAGAGUUUGAGUUGGAUAACCACAGUCCUAAUUCCAACAGGUUGCAGCACUGCAAGAGGAGAAAAGUAGUUUAUUGGCAGAAAAUCAGAUACUAAUGGAACGACUCAAUCAAUCUGAUUCUAUAGAAGAUCCCAAUAGCCCAGCAGGAAGAAGACAUUUGCAACUUCAGACUCAGUUAGAACAGCUGCAAGAAGAAACAUUCAGGUAAAAGGCCACUCCUUACAACCUAGUUUUAAAAUUUCAAAGCUAAAAAUAAAGGGUGCCAGGAUGGCUCAGACAGCAAAGGUGCUUGCCACCAAGCCUAACUACCUGUGUUCAGUCCCCAGAACCUUCAUGGUAAAAGAAGGGAUCCAACUCCAGCAGAUAUUAGCUAACUCUGACGCACACAGAUAGACUUUUAUAGGACUUGUGGGUAACUACAGACCCAAGUGGCUGUGUAAUAAAACAACAUCUUCUCACACGUCAUGAAAUAUCUCCACAUCUAGGAAAUUCCAUCAAAGCUAUGUAUAUAAAACUAAAGACCUAGGGGACCAAAACCCUCUUUUGGCCUCUACAGGCACCAGGCACACAAGUGAUACACAGACAUGCAUGCAGGCAAAGCACCCAUACUCAUAAAGUUAUUUUUUUUAAUUAAAAAAAUAAAAGGUGAAAUUGACACCGACCUCCCAAUUUUAAAUAAUUUUGAGUAAAACAGAUUACUCCAGAAGAUAAGGUUGGGUUCAGUUUCAGCAUUUUGUCACCAACAUGGGUUCCAGAGGAAGUAAAAAACUUAAGUGUUACAUUUUAAACCAUUAAAAAUACUGUCAGGAAGUGGAGAGUUAAAAGACAAUAAUGUCAAAUAUUUACCAAAAGCAAAAACUAUAAAGUCAAAAAUUCAAUUGAAUUAUAUAAAAUUUACAACUCUUUAUUAAAUACUUAUACAAGAAAAAUUGAAAGUAAGUAGUCUACAUGAAAUACAUUGGACAGUAGACAGGAGGGCCUUGUAACUCCAAGGAAGGUUGGUGUUUGGUUUUGUGGGUCUAAAUACAGCUUUUCUUCAUAUAUAUUCUUGUUAAAAAUUUGGAAACCUUUGCUCUUUUCUCCUGCUGUGAGAACUUUGUGCAUCGAUUAAACCUGUUUUCACGGCAGGUAGGACUUGGGUAGAGUUUAUGCUUACAGAAGUGAGAUACAUGCUCAGGAGGAAUGGAAUUUGUUUUCUUUUCUCCCUAAGG